AACCGAGUCAUGGUUUUGCCCGAAUUUUAAAAUCCUGUUGCUUAUAUGGAAGCAUAUGGGUCCUAACAAUUUCUCUUUCAAAAUCCUCAUAGUGAAUGACAUUAUGGCCAUGUUUCUCCCUCAAGUGUGUCUUAAAAAUGCAUCUAGAGUCUAACUAUAAAGGCAUCAUUCAGUUGUAAUAAUUAACAUCUUAUUUGCAUUCAGUACAAUUCUAAGUUCCACAUAAGUGUCUAAUCUGGUGAUGGGCGUUGUAUGAUUGCUAAGUAAAUAUUUGCCGUUGGUUAUAAAGAAUGAAUAAGAUGGGCACGGCCCUGUUUUCCUGUUGUCGUAGCCCAGGGUUGCCUUCUCUAUAAACUAUGUGUGACUGCAGCUGAAUCAGUGAAGCCAUCACCACCGGCCUCAUGCAUCACUGUCCUGUGGACCUAGAUCAGGCCACCUGGGAGAGCCACUUCUGUCCACCCAUCCCUGAGGGGAUGCUUCUCCGUCCCUUCUGCAUGCCUCCUGCACUCGGUGGCUGUGCUCUGGGAGAGUUACCCUGCGAUCUACACUUUCGGCUGCACCACCCUCUGCAGUGAAGAGUGUCUAAGGUUUCCCUACUGCACAGAACACUCGAGAUCCGUGGUGUGACAGGAAGAGCUUUCCAGCUGCGUGGCCUUGGGCCGUCUUACUCUCUGGGCCUCAGUUUCCUCAUUGGUAGCAUGGAGCACUGAAAGCUACGAACAGGAGCUGUGAGGGUGAAUGGAGGAUUCAUGCCAGAGCCUGGUGGGAUGCCCCUGCAGAGCAGAUGCUCAGGAAACCCUCCUGCCAGCUCCUGGGGAGCACGGGAGGCGCUGGCUCCUUAGUUCUCUAUGGAAGGACGGUUCUGCACCAGAUAUUAUUAUUAGAGUCUCUUAUUUGGAAUUCUGGACUUGUGUGCUCGACAGGGGCCUCAAGUCCCCAGUGUCGCUCAAUAGUGACAAACCCAAAUAAAAGAUCCUGGCAAAUGAUUAGCAGCCUUUCCUGCUGCUGUGCUCAUAAACGCUGUUGCUAUUUUUGGGCCAGCAUUGUUCAACCUGGAUUUAGUUCUCCUUUGCUGUCUAUUUUGGCUCUGACCUGCUCUGAAAGGGCAGGCUCCACGCCGGGUGUCACGCCCAAUGGCUUCUCCACGGUCUUUGUCCAAAUGGACUCAGUGAGGAUAUCACCAGCGGAAAAGUAAAAGAUGAGAGGACUUGAAAAAAAUAUCUUCCAUUCAGAAUCUUUUUAAAAAUAUACUUUCAAACAAAGAGG
rnacentral:lncRNA from 1 species